GUGUAACAUUUCUACUUGAAAAACUCCAGCCCUCUCUAGCCUGGAUUAAUAGAAAGAUGUGUGUUUGCCCAUGGGCAGGUGGGGUGCUUGGGGGCAGGAGACCCUGGAAUGGGAUGCGGUGAUGGCAGCUGGGCUGUUGGGCAGGCGGGAUGAGCUGCAGAAGGAGCAGGGCUCUGGUUCCCAGGCUUGUCCAUCCUGCUGGCAUGGAGCCACCUCCAGGCUGUGGGGUGGGUGUGGUAGGUGGGGCUUCCUUCCUUCCCCAGACUAGCCCAGCAAUUCCCCAGGAAGCCAGACCUCUGCUACCCUUCUUUCUGCACCUCUACAGGGAGAGUCAUCCUGUCUGCACCAAGGAUGGGAAAAGCAGAGGAAUCCCACAGGCCAGGUGGGUCGCAAUGGGUAAACGGGGGGUGAACAUAUAUGUGUUUCCUGUGGCUCCCCACUCUGUCAUUUGCAGACACUGCUAAUCAGUCAGUCACAGAAUUCUCACCCCAGUGCCCAGUGAGCACCACCAAAAGCUCCAGAUGGUUUAUAAGUAUCUGGAGACUCUUGCAUUCCCUGUGGAUCCUUCCUGACCAGAUCUUAGAAUCUUGCCUGGAAAUGAGGAAGUGGCAUGUCACCACCCAGUACCUUAGGAAGACCCUGCCCUGUCAGUCAGAGAUGGCAUCUUGGGUGACCACUCCCUGAGUGGAGGAAGAGAGGGUCCUGUGCAGGGAGCUUCCUUGGUGGAUCAUGGGGUAAGUGAUGCCUUUGGUCUGGCAUAAAGCCUGGUGUGUGGAGCAGAGAUUCGAGUGGGGCUGGGACAAGCAGGUGCUGCUCAACCAGGCCUCCAAAUACACCUUGUCCCCCUCCCACCAUAGCUGAGCCUGGAUGGGAAUGUGGACACCUCAUAGACUCCAGAGGAUGGGACCCUGGUCAGUGGUGGUCCUGGGGUGUGGGGUGAAGGCAGCUGGGACAGGGCCUUCAGGUGUGGGAGGAGCCAGCCUCUCCUGUGAGGCCCUGGGCAAGUCCCUGCCCUCUUUGGGCCUCUGUUUCCUCAUCUGGCAAAUGUACAAAUCAUGAGCCUGUUGUGCAGGCCUCACAGGGUCAUGAUGGGGUUCGGGGAGGAUGGGAAUUUGAGGGUGCUUGUGCCUGGCUCUUCUCAUGAAGGAUGAUGGUGACAGCAAUGCUGAGAGCCACAUGAAACCGAGUCCUCAGGAGGCCCUGUGAGGAUGGUGUGGUUCCCAUCACACUUCCCUGACAAGAGGGAAUUAUGAUCUUCAGACUCAGGAGAAAUAUGGGGUUUGUUUCAAGUCCAUGGAGCUCCACAGUUCUUUUGAGAGCUACAGCCUGUCCUGCUGCUGAGCCCCAUCCCAGUAGGCCAGCCACGCCCUCAAGGCCAAGAAGACCAAGCCAUGAAGAAUCUCAGGCCCACUGAAUGCCCGGGUGGCAGGGGCAGAGUGCCUCAGGGCUCAGGGAAGUUUGGGCUGAGUGUGUGCUCUGGGAGCCAGACAGCUAGCUGCACAGGGCUCCCAGCUCCACCAUGACCAGCCCUGUAACUGGGGCAGGGGACUCACUCCUGUGGUACUUGAGCAUCAUUGUCAUAUAAUUAAUGUGUCUGUCCAAUCCUUUUCUCUUUUUAUCUCUCUUCCUCUAUAAUCGCCAUGUACUACUGAUCUGUUAGUGAUUGUGUUCAAAUGAAUAAACAUAUGUUAAAUAGUG
rnacentral:lncRNA from 1 species